rnacentral:rRNA from 1 species
GAUGAACGCUGGCGGCGUGCUUAACACAUGCAAGUCGAACGGAAAGGCCGCUGCUUGCAGGGGUACUCGAGUGGCGAACGGGUGAGUAACACGUGGGUGAUCUGCCCUGCACUUCGGGAUAAGCCUGGGAAACUGGGUCUAAUACCGGAUAGGACAAUGGUUUGGAUGCUGUUGUGGAAGGUUUUUCGGUGUGGGAUGAGCUCGCGGCCUAUCAGCUUGUUGGUGGGGUAAUGGCCUACCAAGGCGUCGACGGGUAGCCGGCCUGAGAGGGUGUACGGCCACAGUGGGACUGAGAUACGGCCCAGAGUCCUACGGGAGGCAGAAGUGGGGAAUAUUGCACAAUGGGCGCAAGCCUGAUGCAGCGACGCCGCGUGGGGGAUGACGGCCUUCGGGUUGUAAACUCCUUUCGCUAGGGACGAAGCGUUUUUGUGACGGUACCUGGAGAAGAAGCACCGGCUAACUACGUG